ACUGACUCUCAUUUCGGACUCAUCCCACCUGCACCCUGGUGAAAUAAACAGCUUCAUUGCUCACACAAAGCCUGUUUGGUGGUCUCUUCACACGGACGUGCAUGAAAUUUGGUGCCGUGACUCGGAUCGGGGGACCUCCCUUAGGAGAUCAAUCCCCCGUCCUCCUGCUCUUUGCUCCGUGAGAAAGAUCCACCUACGACCUCAGGUCCUCAGACCGACCAGCCCAAGAAACAUGUCACCAAUUUCAAAUCCGACGGAGUUUCGCUCUUGUUGCCCAGGCUGGAGUGUAAUGGCGCAUCUCGGCUCACCGCAACCUCCUCCUCCCGGGUUCAAGUGAUUCUCCUGCCUCAGCCUCCCAAGUAGCUGGGAUUACAGGCAUGUGCCACCAUGCCCAGCUGAAUGAAAUGAAUAUAGAGGAGAACUGAAAGGCCAUGGAGGAUCUGAGCCACUACAUGGAAAGAGCAAGGGUCCAUGAAUGACAGCUUGAAACAGGGUCCCUCUCUGCUGCCAACCUGCAUGGAUGGAGACAUGAAUAAGAAAUAAGCACUACUGAGUCAAGACAGAGAGAUCUGAAGGUUGAUUGUUAUAGCAGUUGGACUUCCCUAUUAUCUAAUAUACUGUGCUAUCUUCCAAUGCUUAGCUAGUAAGGGGGGCUCUAGGGAUACCAGUUAAAGAACUCUGGAAUGCAUCCCUUGCAAGUCUGAGAUAUGAAAGGCCACAAUUAGGUCAUGUUAAGAAAUCUAAAGCUGACUGUAGACUGAAGUCUGGCUUCAGUAAAUAUGAAAGAGAAAAGAAGAGCUGACUAACUGCUUUGAAUUAGAGCCAGGAGAGACUGUUGCAUUGCUACUGACCUGCAGUUAGAAAGUUCAUCAGGGCAAGGAGCCAGUGAUUGUUUCCCAGGGAACAUGUGUGGGCCAAUGAUACAGAGCUCACUGGAGUCUUGGUUGGUUUUGUCCAGUAGGUCUGCCUGGAGGGAGAAGGAAAACUUACAAAAGGAGACUGGGGGUAUACUUGUGUGUGAAGGCCCAGAUAAUGAGGACAGAUCCCCAGAGACCUCCUAGAAUAGCUAGAAAAGCCUGGGGUCAAAGAAGCUGCAGGGGAGGAGUGUCCAACAUGAAACCUCUGAGGAGUUCAGGGAAACACCCCAAGAGAAAGGAAGUCAGCUUUAAUCUUCGGCAGGGCCUAGAGAGUGAGAAGUCAAUCAGGAAUAAUAAAUGACCCAUCUCCUUGUCCCCUGUACCCUUUGAACCAGAGGGGAGCAAAACAGAAGCUAGCUAAUGAAAGAUGUGUUAUAGAAUUCAGGGUAACUGAGGUUAUGCUGCAGAAGCAAAUAACAAAAAGAUCUCGAGGACUUCUUGUUUAAGUUCUUUUUUUCUUCACAUACAUUUAUUUUCUGUUCACACUACAGUAUGUUAUCAGUUAGCAUGGGUCUCUGUUCAGCAUAGUUCAGGCAGGCACACAGGCCAAUAGAGGUUCUGUCUUGAUACAUAUUUCCAAAAGACAUUGUCAUUGCAUAAGCACAGCAUUGGAACACUGUGUGACUGUCCUAUGGACCUCAACUGUCCCAUUUUUAACCACUGUGUGACUGUCCUGUGGACCUCAACUGUCCCAUUUUUAAAAUGGGAAUUCAUGAAAUGAGGCAGAAAAAAGGAACAACACAUAUCGACAUUUCUCA
rnacentral:lncRNA from 1 species